rnacentral:lncRNA from 1 species
GUUCAUUUAGUGUAGUUGCUUUAAUAUAUUAUUUGCUGAAACGCUCCUUUGACACCAAAGGGAACCUAACCCAGUGGAUAAGGGUUAUCCCCAUGACCCCAAGGUCAAGGGUUCAACCCCUAGCACCCUCACUAUAUUUUAUUCCUUUUCUUUUGUUUCUAUUUUGUCUAACCAUUUCUUUUCAUUUUAAUUUUUUCACCACCCAUUUUAAUUUUGAUUAAAAUAUUUUCAAAACAACCCCUCAUGAUUUUUCUCCCAUUUUUU